GCGCCCGUAACUCAAUGGAUAGAGUACUGCCCUCCGAAGGCAGAGGUUGCUGGUUCGAUCCCAGCCGGGCGCGCCA
rnacentral:tRNA from 1 species